CCCUAGCUCCUAUCUAAUAUUAUACUUGUUGGGGCUUUGUCACUUCAUCAUAUUCCCCAGUCGUCCGGCGGCCGAGAACCUCAUCACAACCACGGCUCCGCUAUGGCGUCAGAGAAGAAGCUGUCGAACCCAAUGAGAGAGAUCAAAGUACAGAAGCUUGUCCUCAACAUCUCCGUUGGCGAGAGUGGAGAUCGUCUUACCAGAGCCGCUAAGGUUUUAGAACAACUCAGUAGCCAAUCUCCUGUUUUCUCUAAGGGUAAGUUUCUCAAAUUCUGAAUCUACAUUGUAGGGGCUUCUGAAAUGAAAUUCUAUUAUUUGUAGUAGCUUUACUGUCUGCGAAUGAUUUAUGUUAGUAAUUGA